rnacentral:rRNA from 1 species
AUGAUCAGCGUCGCGCCCAACUCUACCGGCGGCUAUCUCCUGCACCGUUUCUGCGACCCCAACACAUCGGCGAGCGUCGACAAGUACGUGCGCAACAUCACAGACUCUUACACCGACACGAGCAAUGAGUCGUCCAUGGUGGCCGCCUCCGUCAUCAUGUUCGCCCUCGCCGGCAUCUUCUUCAACCUCAACCUCUUCAGCCGCUUCUCCGACGUCAGCGCCAUCCUCGACCCCAAGGUCCGGGUCUUCCUCUCCUCCUUGCUCUCCCUCUUCCUCCCCGUCAUGUCCUACCUCUUCUCCGAGGCCAAGAACGCCGGCAAGGUGGCCGCCGCCGCGGGGGUCGGCCACCGUGAGGAGCCAGACCUCUCGCUGCAGGCAGGCUUGAUCCUCCUCUGGAUGCUCCUCGUGGAGCUCCUCCGCAAGAAGGUGGACGAGAUCCGCAUGCGCGGCUACUCCGGCACCAUCCAGCGUGCCGGCCGCGUCGUCUGGCUCGGCAGCCUCGUCUUCUUCAACCUCAAGAGAGUCGGCCGCAAGGCCGUGUUCGGCAUCUUUUGGGUGCUCUGCGCCACCAAGGUGGUGCAGAGGAUCGCCUUCACAGAGGUCGGCAAGCGAUCCUACGCACACGGCAAGAACACGCGUCUCAUCACCUCCUACAUGUCACAAAUACUGCAGCCAGGUCGACCACAGCCACAGGAUCAGCAAGAGCACCAACAGCACCAUUCCCCGUCGACCCAUGUCCUCGACGUUGAGGACGUUGAGCACCGGGCGGCUGCCGGAAAUAACCAAGGUGGUGGCGGCGAGGCCAUGUUGAAGAGGUGCAAGUUCAUCGUCAUGGGUGAAGAAGACCUGGUUAUAGAACCAACUGCUGAUGGCUACAAGCUGAAGGAUAUAUCCCACAACGACACCGUCCUCACCGUUGGAAAAAUCUGGGAUCAUGCCUAUUCCAACCUCGAGGAACGCCUACGGUUGCGACUCAGGAGGCUGUGCCUCUCCUUCGCGCUCUUCAAGCUGCUACGGAGGAGGUUCGAGCACCUGCCGCUGGUGACCAAGGAAGAGACUCGUGAGUGCCGUGACCUACUCUUCGACGGAGUCUACCAUGACAAGUCAGAGAAGGCGGCGGUGGAGCUAUUCCAGAUGAUGAACGAUGAGGUGAACUUCCUGUGCGAGUACUACCACUCCGUCAUCCCCGUCGUCCUCGCGAGCCCUUUCUUCUUACUUGCCAACUACUUCCUGCUUCCCGUGGUGGUGCUUGGCUUGCGCCUUAUGACUGUCGUGCUCUGCGGCUUCGGCGAUGCGGGCUUCGCCUUUUCCAGCAUCACGACGGACAACUUCGCCAUAAAGUCCGGCGUCGUCAACACCACCAUGUGCCUCCUAAUCAAGUCCAUCUCCUCGCCGUCGGCCUUCUUCACGACGGUGGACUUUGCCAUCACCUUCCUCCUCUUGGCCAUCUUCUUCUACGAGGAGAUGUGGGAGUUCAUCGUCUUCCUCCUCUCAAACUGGUUCAUGGUGUCACUGGUCCACAACUACGUGACAAAGCAGUGGUGGCGUGAUAGCAAGAUGUUCAGGAGCUCUGUCCACCGCAUCAUAUGGUUGCGGAAAAAGAUGAGCCAGCCCAUCCUUGGCUUCAAGCAGUUCUCACUGCUGAACCUCCGGUGGCCGCUCGUCCUCGGCCUGCCAUCCAUGUUCUCUCUGGUGCUCGAGACGGCGCCCGUGCCAAAAGGCGCCAAACACGCCAUCAUGGAAUCGCUUGUGAAGCACAUCCAUGAUGGCACUGAUCUCAACAAUGGAAGCUCUGUUCUUGUCAACAGAGAAGACCUCUUGCCGGCGUGUCGGAGCGAUAGCCUCGCGGAGGUCAUCCUCACCUGGCACGUCGCUACCACCAUCAUGGAGGCCAAGUACUCUCCUGGCAAGGGAAAGCAGAGCAAGGCUUCCCAGUACCACAUGGUGGCGACGAGGCUGUCCAAGUACUGCGCCUACCUGGUGGCCUUCCACCCCGAACUACUCCCCGACAACCAGGAAAAGUCAGAGCGCGUCUUCGAGGCCGCCAAGGAGGAGCUCAAGGCCACUCUCAAAUGCGCCCCCUACUACCUCUUGCGUUGGCGCUCGAGGGUCAACGAGGUCAUGGCGGCCCCCAACAGGGAGGCGACUGCGGCCUGGAAAGACGGCAAGGUGGUCCACAAUGGCACGAAGCUGGGGAAUAUGCUGAGGGAGGAACCUACGAGGGACGGCGACAGCCAGCGGGAGCAGACGUGGAAGCUGCUUGCCGACCUAUGGACGGAACUCCUCGUAUACAUAGCGCCGUCGAGCGAUGAGGAGCGCGUGAUGGGGCACGAGAGUGUGCUGGUGCAGGGCGGCGAGUUCAUCACCGUGCUUUGGGCCUUGACCACCCACACUGGAAUAACCCGCCCGGAAAAGUAG